UACGUAGGUGACAAGCGUUGUCCGGAUUUGACUGGCGUAAAGAGCGCGCAGGCGGUCGAUCAAGUCGAGUGUGAAAGCCCCCGGCUCAACUGGGGAGGGUCAUUCGAUACUGAUCGACUCGAAGGCAGGAGAGGGUAGUGGAAUUCCCGGUGUAGUGGUGAAAUGCGUAGAUAUCGGGAGGAACACCAGUGGCGAAGGCGACUACCUGGCCUGUUCUUGACGCUGAGGCGCGAAAGCUAGGGGAGCAAACAGG
rnacentral:rRNA from 1 species